rnacentral:rRNA from 1 species
UGGGGAAUAUUGCACAAUGGGGGAAACCCUGAUGCAGCGACGCCGCGUGAGCGAUGAAGGCUUUCGAGUCGUAAAGCUCCGUUCUAUGGGAAGAUAAUGACGGUACCAUAGAAGAAAGCCCCGGCUAAUUACGUGCCAGCAGCCGCGGUAAUACGUAAGGGGCGAGCGUUGUCCGGAAUUAUUGGGCGUAAAGAGUGCGUAGGCGGCAAAUUAAGUCAGAUGUGAAAACUAAGGGCUCAACCCAUAGAUUGCAUCUGAAACUGAUAUGCUUGAGUCAAGGAGAGGAAAGUGGAAUUCCUAGUGUAGCGGUGGAAUGCGUAGAUAUUAGGAGGAAUACCGGUGGCGAAGGCGACUUUCUGGACUGGAACUGACGCUGAGGCACGAAAGCGUGGGGAGCAAACAGG